CACACAUCGCCAAGAGAAAAAGGAAAACAAAAAGAUUCUUGUGCUGUCAUUGUAAACUUGCAAUCAGGAAAACACAAAGUUGUUGGAAUACAUAACAAGCUUGGUAAACUAUUGGUAUUUGUGAUUUGUGAAGCUGCAAAAGGUUAGGACUUGAAGCUGAUCGAUAGAUGGUGAGAUGGGUAGCUACUUGUGGAGUUCGAGGAUUAUGGCUUUAGUUACCCAUAGUUGCAUUUACUUACGUAGACAUUUAUUUAGCCGUUUGGCCAUUAUUAUGUUGGUUGUCUUUUACGUUGAUUGUGGAUUUCAUUUGGGCUAUUGUGAUGAUAUUAUUGGUAACACCUUUUAAGACAUUUAUUAUGUUUUUAUUGAUUCCGUUAUGGAUCAAA